rnacentral:lncRNA from 1 species
UACCUCUUUCUGAAAUGACAUACAAUGGAACUCCAUGCAACUUAACAAAUUCCCUAAGGUAAAGCCUUGCAUAAUUCCCAGCGAGUACAAAGCAUGAACUGGAAAAAAUGAAUUGAUUUGGUCAUUCUUUCUAUAAUGACCCAUAUCGAAUUAUGCUAGUGACGCAUAUAAGGCAACCCAUCACAAAAUCUAUGUUCACAACUUCCCAGUUCCAAGUGGGAAUUCUGAAC